rnacentral:rRNA from 1 species
AUUUUCGGUUGAUCCUGCCGGCGGUCAGGCUAUUGGAAUUCGAUUAAGACAUGCGAGUCGAGAGUCGCAAGGACUCGGCGGACCGCUCAGUAACACGCGGAUAACAUGCCCUUGGGUGGGGGAUAACCUCGGGAAACUGAGAAUCCUCUCCCCAUAGAUCUAGAAAGCUGGAAUGCUUUUAGAUCCAAAACUCCGGUGCCCAAGGAUUGGUCUGCGGCGUAUCAGGUUGUAGUGGGUGUAACGGACCCCCUAGCCUAUGACGCGUAAGGGCCUUGAGAGAGGGAGCCCUGAGAUGGACUCUGAGACAUGAGUCCAGGCCCUACGGGGCGCAGCAGUCGCGAAAACUUCACAAUGGGGGAAACCCCGAUGAGGGAAUUCCAAGUGUCAGCACAUUGUGUUGGCUGUUCUUUGGUCUAAAAAACCAGAGAAGUAAGGGCCGGGUAAGACGGGUGCCAGCCGCCGCGGUAAUACCCGCGGCCCGAGUGGUGGUCGAUAUUAUUGAGCCUAAAACGUCCGUAGCCGGUUUUGUAAAUCCUUGGGUAAAUCGACCAGCUUAACUGUUCGAAGUCCGGGGAGACUGCAAGACUUGGGAUCGGGAGAGGUGAGAGGUACUUCUGGGGUAGGGGUAAAAUCCUGUAAUCCUAGAAGGACCACCGGUGGCGAAGGCGUCUCACUAGAACGAAUCCGACGGUGAGGGACGAAGCCCUGGGGCGCAAACGGGAUUAGAUACCCCGGUAGUCCAGGGUGUAAACGCUGCGGGCUUGGUAUUGGGGGUCCUUUGAGGGCGCCCAGUGCCGGAGAGAAGUUGUUAAGCCUGCUGCUUGGGGAGUACGUCCGCAAACAUAAACUUAAAGGAAUUGGCGGGGGAGCACCGCAACGGGACCCCUGCGGUUCAAUUGGAUUCAACGCCGGAAAU